rnacentral:rRNA from 1 species
GACGAACGCUGGCGGCGUGCUUAACACAUGCAAGUCGAACGAUGAAGCUAGAGCUUGCUCUGGUGAAUUAGUGGCGAACGGGUGAGUAACACGUGAGUAACCUGCCCCGAACUCUGGGAUAACUGCUGGAAACGGUAGCUAAUACUGGAUACGACCUACGAAGGCAUCUUCUGUAGGUGGAAAGAAUUUCGGUUCGGGAUGGACUCGCGGCCUAUCAGCUUGUUGGUGAGGUAAUGGCUCACCAAGGCGACGACGGGUAGCCGGCCUGAGAGGGUGACCGGCCACACUGGGACUGAGACACGGUCCAGACUCCUACGGGAGGCAGCAGUGGGGAAUAUUGCACAAUGGGCGCAAGCCUGAUGCAGCAACGCCGCGUGAGGGAUGACGGCCUUCGGGUUGUAAACCGCUUUCAGCAGGGAAGAAGCCGCAAGGUGACGGUACCUGCAGAAGAAGCACCGGCUAACUACGUGCCAGCCGCCGCCGUAA